AAAAAGGAUUUAUUUAAAUCCACAUCAUUUAUAUAUGUUUUUGUUU
rfam:Picea glauca, whole genome shotgun sequence.